UGGGAGACAAAGUUUACAUGCUAAAGAUUGUUUCUUUUCCGUGUCUACAAAGCUCCGAUAUAAAUUGUGACGUUUAAAUCAUCUUGGAGAAUCCUUUUUUUCUCUUAAGAUAAAUACUUUCGUCUACAUUA
rnacentral:snoRNA from 1 species